rnacentral:lncRNA from 1 species
UAAUUACUUCGUUGUUUUCUCUAGGAAAAAGUCAACCACCGACAACUCUAAUAACAGCGAGGAGUCCAUUUCCCCUUUUCCAAUUAGAUUUGUUCAAGUUUCGGGAAGUGAUGAUGUUCGUCCAAUGUGUAGUCAAGAUGUCUCUGCCGUAGCUUCACCCAUUGAAAUUGUGGAAACCACUGUCAAUACUUCCCAGAGUUUGUAUACAGGUGUAUCUCUACACGGGCGACGUUUGGCAGAUAUUGGAUAUUUAUUAAAGCAAAUCGCAGAAAUAUCGAAGCAUCCACCAUUCGAUUGU